GCGUGAGCGACAUGCCCGUUGCCCGGGGACAACCGGUGGAAACGCCGACUAAUCCCCGAUGGGAUACGAUGCUUCAUGGCAUUGUAUUGAAAGUUACGGCGGCGACGGAUUGGCUCGCGUCCGAUUAGCUUGUUGGCGGGGUAACGGCCCACCAAGGCUACGAUCGGUAGGGGUUCUGAGAGGAAGGCCCCCCACAAUGGGACUGAGACACGGCCCAUACUCCUACGGGAGGCAGCAGUGAGGAAUAUUGGUCAAUGGGCGGAAGCCUGAACCAGCCAUGCCGCGUGCGGGAAGGAGGCCCUAUGGGCUGUGAACCGCUUUUGCCUGGGGGCAAUAAGGGCGUCGCGCACGCCCGAUGAGAGUACCAGG
rnacentral:rRNA from 1 species